AAAUCGACGACCCAAUCACGCAGCGUGAAAGUCACGAAUGGUAAUGUGUGUACUGUCGUUGAGAGAGGGAAGCUAUUUCUGGCCAGAAAUCAUUUUGUUUCUCAGGUUUCAUUUGUUUUACUUUACGGUGGAAAGAAGAAGAAGAAAAGAACACAGAAGAGAAGAAUAUCCAAUCAGCUCCCUGCAGAAGUUAAAUGUAAAAAGUGCUAAAGAGGUGUGCCUGGCAAGUACAAGCAGGAGAGGACAGACGCAGAUACUGCCGGCAAAAGUCGUCUUUCUUGAACUUCCUGGGAUCAUCGCCUCACUCAAAGAUGGCUUAGAGGCCACAAAAACCUCAAAGGACCAGCUGGACCCUCACAAGCUCAAUGUGCUCAUAGGUCCUGGUGGUUGGUGGUUCCCUCUCUCCAGAUGGCCCACUCUGAUCAUUUAUUGAUGACAGGAGAACAGAGGAAGGCCUUCCCAGCUGCUGCUGCCUGGCACCCCGCUCAGUGCACACACACACACACACACACACACACACACACACACACACACACACACAUUCACUCACAUGCAUGCAUUCAGUAAUUGGAAUAGACUCACACCCUGUCACAAAUACAGACGCACACAGACAAAAAUUUUCCCUUCGUCUCCUUUUGCGGUGUCACACACAUUAGUCUCUUCUACUGUCAAUUUUGAUUCUGUGCUGCACUUUUGCACCCUCUCCCUCUCUCCUCCUCUCUCUUCCUGCCUCCAGCUCUCCUCCUUUCACCUCCUGCUGUGGUGUUACUGACUCUGUCACACAGGGACAGACAGAAGGAGAGACAGAGGGAGGGAGGGGGAGAGAAUGUGAGAGCUUGAGAGUAGUGUGGAAGAUUUGAGUUUGCAAAUGCCUUAACCAUGGAUGUGCUGCAGCUUACGUAAAAACUCUGGUUUUGAAAAAAACAGAGCUCUUUCUAUAAUAAUAUCAAGUAUCAAAGAAGAAUGUAAAAUAAAACUAUUCCACUUUGUGGCCACUGCAA